rnacentral:tRNA from 1 species
GCGGGCGUAACUCAGCGGCUAGAGUGCUAGCUUCCCAAGCUGGACGUCGAGGGUUCGAAUCCCUUCGCCCGCU